GACGUAGGGUGCAAGCGUUGCUCGGAAUCACUGGGCGUAAAGAGCGUGUAGGCGGCCUGGUAAGCGGGAUGUGAAAGCCCUCGGCUCAACCGAGGAAGUGCAUUUCGAACUGCCUGGCUUGAGUCCGGGAGAGGGUGGUGGAAUUCCUGGUGGAACGGUGAAAUGUGUAGAUAUCAGGAAGAACGUCGGUGGCGAAGGCGACCGCCUGGCCCGGUACUGACGCUGAAAUGCGAAAGCGUGGGUAGCAAACAGGAUUAGAUACCCUUGUA
rnacentral:rRNA from 1 species